rnacentral:pre_miRNA from 1 species
AGUGGAAUUGCUGGGUCACAUGGUAGUUCAUUUUUAGUUCUUUGAGGAACUGCCACACUCUUUUUCACAACAGCUGUACCAUUUUACAUUCCCACUAGCAAU